GACAGAGGCCUCGAGCGUUAGGCGGAAUCACUGGGCUUAAAGCGUGUGUAGGCGGGCCCGUAAGUGUUUUGUGAAAUCCCACGGCUCAACCGUGGAACUGCUGGGCAUACUGCGGGUCUGGGCCAACUAGGGGCAGCCGGAACAAGCGGUGGAGCGGUGAAAUGCGUUGAGAUCGGAAGGAACGCCCGUGGCGAAAGCGAGGUCCUGGACGUCUACUGACGCUGAGACGCGAAAGCUAGGGGAGCGAACGGGG
rnacentral:rRNA from 1 species